rnacentral:rRNA from 1 species
GACGAACGCUGGCGGCGUGCUUAACACAUGCGAGUCGAACGGAAAGGCCCUGCUUUUGUGGGGUGCUCGAGUGGCGAACGGGUGAGUAACACGUGAGUAACCUGCCCUUGACUUUGGGAUAACUUCAGGAAACUGGGGCUAAUACCGGAUAGGAGCUCCUGCUGCAUGGUGGGGGGUGGAAAGUUUCGGCGGUUGGGGAUGGACUCGCGGCUUAUCAGCUUGGUGGUGGGGUAGUGGCUUACCAAGGCUUUGGCGGGUAGCCGGCCUUAGAGGGUGACCGGCCACAUUGGGACUGAGAUACGGCCCAGACUCCUACGGGAGGCAGCAGUGGGGAAUAUUGCACAAUGGGCGGAAGCCUGAUGCAGCAACGCCGCGUGCGGGAUGACGGCCUUCGGGUUGUAAACCGCUUUCGCCUGUGACGAAGCGUGAGUGACGGUAAUGGGUAAAGAAGCACCGGCUAACUACGUG